GACACUUUGCCGGAGUGGUUAACGGGUGCCCCUGCUAACCAGCACAGGGUAUGGUCUUAGACCGCGUGUGUUCGAAUCGCACAGGUGUCG
rnacentral:tRNA from 1 species